GCCCGACGGAGGCGCGUUCCUGCCGCCGGCGUGCGGGGCGGAGCGGAACAGGAAAGGGAGCUCGGGUGUCCGCCAGUCCCGGAGAGGGGUCGGCACGGUCCUUGGGGUCCCCCAGCCGGAGCAGUAAGCCCCCGCCACAAUGGAGAACAGAGGCCAAAGAGAGGGAUUGACUUGUACAAAGAGAAAGGAAGUCUGAGAACUCUCCACAGGAAGAACAGAACAGAACAGUUGUGAGCUCAAGUUGGGAACUUUAGACCAUAAGGCAAAGAUGAUCCUGGACCUGGAUGAGAGAAGCCCCCAGGGCACUUCCAGCCAACAUCCUAGCAGAGAAAGGUCCUUUGCUGUGCAGUGGGGACACAAAGAUGAGGAAGACCCAGUCUCUGCCCUGGAGGAACUCACUGCCUAGUGCAAGAACAAGGAAACAGAUGGAGUAGAAUUAGAAUGACAGAGGUUCACUCAGAGAUUUUCAGAGCCAUGUGAAUGGGCUCGCUGGAGCUGUGAUAUUAAAUGAGUCAUUCAACUUUUUCUUUUUUUUUUUUUUUUUUUGGCGGUACACGGGGCUCUCACUGUUGUGGCCUCUCCCGUUGUGGAGCACAGGCUGUGGAUGCACAGGCUCAGCGGCCAGGGCUCACGGGCCUAGCCGCUCCGCAACAUGUUGGAUCUUCCCAGACCGGGGCACGAACCUGUGUCCCCUGCAUCAGCAGGCGGACUCUCAACCACUGUGCCACCAGGGAAGCCCCAUUCAACUUUUGGAAUCUCAGUUGUUUCAUCUAUAAAGAGCACAUCGUUAAAAAUACGCGGGCCUCUCACCGCCACGGCCCCUCCUGCUGCAGAACACAGGCUUCAGACGCGCAGGACCAGCGGCCAUGGCCCACGGGCCCAGCCACUCCGCGGCAUGCGGGAUCCUCCCAGACUGGGGCACGAACCCGCGUCCCCUGCACCGGCAGGUGGACUCCCAACCACUGUGCCACCGGGGAAGCCCAUUUAAUGAAAAUUUUUGUUCAUUGAGCUCAAAUAAAAUCAGACAUGGAGGCUACUGCUGAUUGAACCAAACCAGCACUGUCUUAUCAGCUACAAGAGGGCUUUUUCAUUUUUUCAUUUUUCCUAUUUGCUUGACAGUUCAAUGAAGUUAUUAAAAUAAAACCUAAAUUUUCUUUAUCAAACCACAAAAAAGU